GGAUGGUGAGGUAACGGCCCACCAUGGCGACGAUCGGUAGCCGGACUGAGAGGUUGAACGGCCACAUUGGGACUGAGACACGGCCCAGACUCCUACGGGAGGCAGCAGUGGGGAAUAUUGCACAAUGGGGGAAACCCUGAUGCAGCAACGCCGCGUGAAGGAAGACGGUCUUCGGAUUGUAAACUUUUGUUCUUGGUGAAGAAGAAUGACGGUAGCCAAGGAGGAAGCCACGGCUAACUACGUGCCAGCAGCCGCGGUAAUACGUAGGUGGCAAGCGUUGUCCGGAAUUACUGGGUGUAAAGGGAGCGCAGGCGGGAAAUCAAGUUGGAUGUGAAAUGUCGGGGCUUAACCCCGGAACUGCAUCCAAAACUGAUAUUCUUGAGUGAAGUAGAGGUAGGCGGAAUUCCGAGUGUAGCGGUGAAAUGCGUAGAUAUUCGGAGGAACACCAGUGGCGAAGGCGGCCUACUGGGCUUUAACUGACGCUGAGGCUCGAAAGUGUGGGGAGCAAACAGGAUUAGAUACCCUGGUAGUCCACACUGUAAACGAUGAUUGCUAGGUGUGGGGGGUCUGACCCCCUCCGUGCCGGAGUUAACGCAAUAAGCAAUCCACCUGGGGAGUACGGCCGCAAGGUUGCAACUCAAAGGAAUUGACGG
rnacentral:rRNA from 1 species